GACAGAGGUCCCGAGCGUUAGGCGGAAUCACUGGGCUUAAAGCGUGCGCAGGCGGUUUGCUAAGACAGGUGUGAAAUCCCCGGGCUUAACCUGGGAACUGCGCUUGUAACUGGCAAGCUAGAGUGUGGCAGAGGGGGGUGGAAUUCCACGUGUAGCAGUGAAAUGCGUAGAGAUGUGGAGGAACACCGAUGGCGAAGGCAGCCCCCUGGGCUAACACUGACGCUCAUGCACGAAAGCGUGGGGAGCAAACAGG
rnacentral:rRNA from 1 species